rnacentral:rRNA from 1 species
AUGGACGUUAAGACGGCUUUCCUCAAUGGAGAGUCGAAGGAAGAAAUUUACAUGGAUCAGCCAGAUGGUUUUGUAGUACCUGGUCAGGAAGAAAAGGUGUGCAAGUUGUUAAAGUCUUUAUAUGGCCUUAAGCAAGCUCCUAAGGAGUGGCAUGAGAAGUUUGAAAGAACAUUAACUACUGCCGGCUUUGUAGUAAACGAUGGUGACAAGUGCGUGUACUAUCGCUAUCGUGGGGGCGAAGGAGUUAUUCUUUGUCUAUAUGUCGACGACAUAUUGAUCUUUGGAACCAAACUUGAUUUAAUCAAGGAGGUUAAGGAUUUCUUAUCUCGGUGUUUUGAGAUUACGGAUCUAGGAGUAGCUGAUGUUAUCUUAAACAUCAAGCUGUUGAGAGAUGAGAAUGGUGGGAUCACACUGCUUCAGUCUCACUAUGUGGAAAAGGUCUUGAGUCGUUUUGGGUAUAGCGAUUGCACGCCUUCUCCAACUCCAUAUGAUGCUAGUGUGUUGCUUCGAAAGAAUCGACGGAUUGCUAGAGAUCAACUGAGGUAUUCUCAGAUUAUUGGCACGCUUAUGUAUUUGGCGAGUGCCACGAGGCCUGACAUCUCCUUUGCUAUGAGCAAGCUGAGUCGGUUUGUGUCAAAACCGGGAGAUGAUCAUUGGCGUGCACUUGAGAGAGUUAUGCGCUACUUGAAGGGCACUGCGAGCUAUGGCAUUCACUACACCGGGUAUCCAAGGGUACUGGAGGGUUAUAGUGACUCGAACUGGAUAUCUAAUGCUGAUGAGAUUAAGGCCACAAGUGGUUAUGUUUUUACACUUGGUGGUGGCGCUGUUUCCUGGAAGUCUUGCAAGCAGACCAUCUUAACGAGGUCAACUAUGGAAGCAGAACUCACAGCAUUAGACACUGCCACUGUUGAAGCAGAGUGGCUUCGUGAGCUAUUGAUGGACUUACCUAUGGUUGAAAAACCAAUACCCCCUAUCCUGAUGAACUGUGAUAAUCAAACUGUGAUCGUCAAGAUAAACAGUUCUAAGGACAAUAUGAAGUCCUCAAGGCAUGUGAAGAGGAGACUAAAAUUUCUCAGGAAACUGAUGAACUCCGGAGUUAUUACAUUGGAUUAUAUCCAAACAUCGAAAAACUUGGCAGAUCCCUUCACAAAGGGUCUAUCACGUAAUGUGAUAGGUAAUGCAUCGAUGGAGAUGGGUCUGAGACCCACC